GCACCCUUAGCUCAGUUGGUUAGAGCGCGCCCUUCACACGGGCGAGGUCGGGAGUUCGAGCCUCUCAGGGUGCA
rfam:Parcubacteria bacterium GW2011_GWA1_53_13 TY78_C0022, whole genome shotgun sequence.